ACUGGGGUACUAGGAUGGCUGACAUCUGAGGUCCAGGGCAUGGAGGAGUUCAAGAGCAUGAAGACAAACCUGAAGUAUCGCUUCUGGCUGCUGCUGCUCUUCUCCAUGGCGUCCAGAGACCCCAUGCCCCGGUACUUCUUAAGCCUCACCCCAUCCGAGAAGAAGUAUUCGCCAGGGGCCUCCGUGGUGGCAGCCAGCAGGGAGCCCAUCAUCACUACAGAGGUGGAGGUGGAGGGAUCAAUGCCUCCUAUUCCAACUGUCCCGUUGGCUCUCAGCCCCACCUGCCCAAUCCAAAGUGCCCCCCUCACCUGUGGAGGCUCCAAGUGCCAGGGCCUUGACCACAUGGCCCACGGUCUGGAUGCCACCAUCAGCUAUUACCGGUACCCCAAAGCGCCGGGCAUACUCAGCCACCUUGUAGACGGCAGUGCCCUGGGGUCGGCCGCAGGCCAUCACUGGGGAUGCACAGGACAGACAUGAGUCAGUGGUCCCUUCUCCUUGUGUCUGUCGCCACGCAUGGCGAAGGGACGGGGAGAGAUGAUGUUUCUGAGGUCUAAGGCAGGAAUAGUAACAAGCAGCGGGGGAUGUCAUUCUAGGUACCUAAGUCACCCACCACCAACAGCAUCAUAAGGGAUAUGGAUUCAGGGGAUCAGUGCCAGCCUCCAGGAAACAGGAUCUCAAGACUGGUGGUCUCUAGCAUCAGCUGCUCGGAAGGCAUGAUCUGGUCACAAAUGCAAUCCAAGCCCUCAGCUGUCUUCCGACACACACCUUAUAGAAAGUGUAACACCAACUUUGGACCUCCAGACAGUGUCUCCACAACCAGGUCUGAAAAGCAGGGGCAUGCCGUUCCUACUUCCUGCCCAAGUCCAUUCCCAUGACCAACAGAUAUUAUGAGCCUGCCAACUCGCUGGCCGAGUGAAAUCACUGAACUGCUCUGAGCCUGUUUCGUCACUGGGAACGGCAGCUGUAACUCAAGGAGCUGCUGCCUGGCCAGUGGGGGCCUCUCAGUGAAUGCGAGCUGUAAUUAUAAAGGGUCUGUGCGUGCAAUGAUGGCUACCAGCUCAUCUUGAUCGUUGACUAUGGGCAGCUUCCCUGGCCAGGAGGAAAGAGAAGCAGGUGUCGGGGAGGACAGGAGGAUGGGAUGAAAAUGGAACCAGAGACCACUGAAGUAACUAAAUCAGCCACUAGGUGACAGUACCCACCUCUGGACCUCUUCCCAAGGGACAGGAAGCAAAGAACCUUCCCAAGCAAGCAAGUUCCUAAGGCUCUUCCUGUCCUGGUGCCUGGAUGGUACCCUGACCCCUGAGCUCGGGCAGCCUCUCACCUGCAGGGCUGGUCACAGCACAAAGGACCCAGACAAGGCACUAUGUGAGACUGAUGGCCCUGAGGGGGGGGACAUGGGUCCUCCCUGCCUAUUACAAACCACAAAGAACUCUCCACAGGGGACCUGGGGAGCAAUAGCCCCCAGGGAGGUAGUGAAAGUUAUACAAUUUCCCUAUCAAAUAAAUUUAACUGCAGGACUUAUCA